AAAAAAAAAAAUAUUUUCCGUAAGUCGCACUAAAGAUCGCAUCGUCAAAGAGUUCUCAAGAUCUCUUGCCAACAUUGACCUCGUGACAUCGGUUACGCCAUAAUCCACUCUAGUUCUAAUCGUGGCGAUUUCGCGAAGAAGACUGUACUUGACACCCAGCUCGACAAAUUAAUUAUGCAUUCUAUCAAGAGCAGCAAGAAAGCAAGCGAGAACGAGCGAAGAAUGGCGGACUUGGAGGAAGAGGGAGAAGGAGAACAUGUGCAAAAAAGGAAAAUAAAAAGAAGGAUCCAAAGUUGAUUUUCAGAAUUUCAUUUGCGGUUGAAAAUCGUGUUAUUCGAAGAAGUUAAACAAGGAUGAAUAACAUUUUAAUUGCCUCGAUCAAAUUAAACGUUUGUUCUCGUUGCGAAUUGAACAGUAAAAGUGGUGUGUGUUCGAGUUUGUGGUGUGUUGCUGUUUAAAUUUUCUGGGGAGAUUGCAUGUUUAUGGAACUAUUUUGGCUUGGCUGGCUUCAACUGGUUAAUUUGGCUAGAAUUUUGGCGAUACAUAAGUUACUAGGUGUUGAAGAAUUUAUGUGUUCUGAAAGCCGCAUUAAUUAAGAAGCAGCAAGGGGUUCCUUACGUGACGUGGACCAGAGCGCAGAGAUGAAACAGGCCGGCAUUUUCAAUCAAAAACAAAUCAUCCCGAGAAAGCGUAAUUAAAUUUGAAAAGAGGUAAAGGUAAAGUAGGAGGUAAGGUAAAGUUUGACUUAUCCGCGCUGUUCUUCCGAAUAAUAAUAACGCGUUGAAAAUUUGUUUAUUUUAUUCUCUUAUUUCGCGAAACGAAAAUUUAAUUGUAAACAGCAUUGAUGAUAUAAAGUGUUGUUUUUCAAUCUUAAAAGAUAAAUAUAUCGUAGAAGAAAUCUUUCACUGAUACCAUCUAUACUAUCCUGUUCGCGUUGUGUUUAUGUUUAUGAAUCAAUAUGCAAAUGAAACACAGUUUCAGUUGGCUAUACCAACUUCUCUUGAUAUUUA